UACGAAGGGUGCAAGCGUUACUCGGAAUUACUGGGCGUAAAGCGUGUGUAGGUGGCUACCUAAGUCGAUUGUGAAAUCCCUGGGCUCAACCUGGGAAUUGCAGUCGAUACUGGGAAGCUCGAGUUCGGUAGAGGACGGCGGAAUUCCCGGUGUAGCGGUGAAAUGCGUAGAGAUGUGGAGGAAUACCGAUGGCGAAGGCAGCCCCCUGGGAUAACACUGACGCUCAUGCACGAAAGCGUGGGGAGCAAACAGG
rnacentral:rRNA from 1 species